GCGGGGCCGUGGGCGGCGGCGGGGCCCGUUCCGGGCGGUGCGGGGCGGUGCGGGGCGGUGCGGAGCCGUGCGGGGCUGCAGGGGGAUGCGCAGCGGCUCGGCCCCGGGCAGAUGAUGGCGAUACGCGAGCUGAAAGUGUGUCUGCUUGGAGAUACCGGGGUUGGGAAAUCAAGCAUUGUUUGUCGAUUCGUCCAGGACCACUUUGAUCACAAUAUUAGUCCUACUAUUGGAGCAUCCUUCAUGACUAAAACUGUGCCUUGUGGGAAUGAGCUUCAUAAAUUUCUGAUCUGGGAUACAGCUGGUCAGGAGCGGUUUCACUCCUUGGCUCCGAUGUACUACAGAGGUUCAGCAGCAGCUGUCAUAGUUUAUGAUAUCACCAAGCAGGAUUCAUUUCAUACUUUGAAGAAAUGGGUGAAAGAACUAAAAGAACAUGGUCCUGAAAACAUUGUAAUGGCCAUUGCUGGAAACAAAUGUGAUCUUUCUGAUAUCAGGGAGGUUCCUAUCAAGGAUGCCAAAGAAUAUGCAGAAUCUAUAGGUGCAAUUGUUGUUGAAACCAGUGCAAAGAAUGCUGUUAACAUUGAAGAACUCUUUCAAGGAAUAAUUGUAGAAAUACAAAAGAUUGUCUGCUUCAAAAGUCUCACUUUUGCUGUAUAAUACACCUGUUCAGAAAUGAUUGAACAAGAUAGAUGAAAUUUUGAUGGAUUUGACCAAAGGUCGGCAAAUUCCACCCUUAGAUCCUCAUGAAAAUGGUAACAAUGGAGCAAUCAAACUUGGAAAGCAGACUUCACAGACGGGUAGGCGGUGCUGCUGACCCAACUUGAUCUUUUGAGAUUUACUUGAAAAACAACACCAUUUGCUUUUUCACUGAGAAAGGACUUCAUGAUCUCAGUGAUGUGGCUCCUUAUCUUGAAAGCAGUAAUUUCAAUACUUCCCGUGAGUAAUAAUGCAAGGACCAGAAGUGGAAAGCUUUACUUCAAAGCGAUUUUGCAAAACCUACUUGGAAAAUCCACUCAAAAUUACAAUGUCCUAAGAAUUCUGAUUCUCUGUUUAAGCCAAUGACUAUUUUUUUUAAUAAAAAGAACCUUUUAUAUUAUAAAUUCUAGAUUUGCUACAAAACCUUCUCUUCUUACAUUGCAAAGUGGACUUGGCAUGUCUUUAGAGUUUUCUGUGUAACAAUAGGGUGCAAAAACACACAAAACCAGAGUUUUGGCUUACAGUUUCUCUGACAUCUUGCUAGCUGGACUCUGCUUCUGUAUUUUUCUAAAUCUGUACCUUCAUCUUCUGCUUUCGGUAAAUACCAGCAAGAACUGGACUGAAUUUGCUAACUAGUAAAAUGGAUCCAAAGGAUGAGUGAGUGCAAUUUUUACAGGCUACAAGUCAAAAUCUGUGUCAUGAGGUUGCUGUGUAUGUGAAAGAAGGAAUCGUCAUGAAGGAGACUGCUGGACCCCAUGCCGUUCUCACUGCUCUGGAAAGAAUGGAAGUUGCAGCCACUGCGCUUUGCCUGAAACCAUUUCUUUUCCAGGGCAUAGGCUUUAUUAAUCACUGAAAUUGUAGAGAACACAAAUUUCGAUUUAACGUCUGUUACUUACCAUGUUUCCUCCAAAUCUGUGUCCCAGACCGAAGUUGUCUCUGCUAAAAGAUUCCACUUCUUUAUUUCUAAAAGAGUGCCACGCUGCCCCAGUGAGUCAGGAGGACUACUUCGUUGUCUCACCUCAGCACUCCAGGAAGUCUCACUGAGGCUGUUCGAAGAAUGGCAGCUCUGUACAAAAAUGCUUUAAGAAAGCACCAUAUAAUUUGGGCUUAAAGGCUGGAAUCUAAUAAAACAAAAUAGAAUAUUUCCUUACAAAUGCAAUUCUGUUCAUUUGUGGAAUAAUCUCUUCACUAACACAGGGAUCCAGUUUGGAAGACCUACUGCUUGAUACAUUUGAAGCUUAAUGCACUUGAAAAAAUAUAGUGUAGAAAAAUAAACCCAAUAGAUGGCUAUGUACUGGGAGUAUUGUAAAACUGCAUGUGUUCUCCACUUCCAUCUUUUAUGAAUGUGUGAUAAAGAUGAUAAAUUAUGGCUCUCUCUUCUUCAUCAAUUCAAAUUGAAAUCUGGACUAGGAUAAGGAAUACAGGCUUCAAAAGCAGAGUCCCACCUGCAUUUCUCAGCAUUCAUUUGUUCUCUUACUGGGAAAGUUAAACUCAGCGCACGUUGUUGGGGGCUUUAUGAAAAGUAAUCAAAAGAGAAAAAUAACUUUCUGCUAUAAAUUGUAAACAGACAGGCUAGAGCUGGGCUUCUGUGUUUGUGCAUAAAAACAGACUUUAUUGCUAGGUUGUGAGAUUGCUUUGAUAAAUAGCACAAAGUAUUAGUGCUUGAACCAGAGCUGGAUAUACUGAACAGUAUUAUUUUCUUUUCUUCAGAGGGCUGAAAUAAUUAAUGUCAGGUGGGAUGUUCCCCGCCUGAUCUUAUCUCAGAAUCUAAACUACAUUGGUUUUUUCACAUAUGCACGAUGUUUCAGGUAUUUUGGAUUCCUUUGAAAGCACUUGUACUUGAAAAUUUGUCCUUGGAUAAUGCACAUAGACACAAGAGCUACCACCUGAAACGAUAUUUAGGGUAAACUUUGUUUUGUCACCUAUGUUGAUAAAAAAUCCAUGCCACUGCUUAGUUGCAGCAAGUAUUUUACAGAUAAUCCAGCGUCAUUCACAUGAAAAUUCAGCGACAGGUGGGGAGGGAGACAGUCUCCUUUAGGGACCCUCUCAUCCCAUCCCAGUAUAAGUGCAUCUGCCCAGGGUGCUUGGCUCUUUCCCUGAGCUGUUGAGGGAGCCCAGGCAGCUACUGGAAGGCAGGGGAGGUUAACCAGGCCUGCAGUGCUAAAGAAAUAUCAAACUGAUCGACAACGCAGAUUCAGGUAGUUGAUGGGAUCUAUGACCACACGCUGCAAGAGAUCUGGUGCUUCCUAAGUAAAACCCGGUCAAAGGCUAGGCCUGUUAACAAGAAAACAAGAUAUGAUUUAGCCCACAUUUUAAAAGAUGUUAGGAAUUUUAGUUCAACGUAUAACAGUUCUGUAUAACUGACUUGUUAACUUUUCAUAAAUCUAUAUGGCAACUUUCUUUUUGUAAUGUGACAUCUCAAAGUGCAUUAAAUCCUACUUGAGAUGUCUGAAAGCUUUGUAAGACAGUUCUAAAAGUACCUUGUAUAGUCUGAUUUUCUGCUGGAACUGGCAAUUAAUGCUGGUCUGUGUGAAAUAGAUAUUGUCUUGAAUAAGCAGCUCUCACAGCUGCCAUUGAGCUGUUUGUGAAUCAGUGCAGGUUUGUGAGUUACAUCUUUAAAUAGUGUAGAAUUGGAAAUUGUUACGAUGGAUCUCUGGCAGAUUUUUAAAUUCAAAUGCUAGCAAAUAGGCUAAAGGUAUUUUUGCAUUUGGUGGGUCAAAUCUAAAUUACUUUAUUCUGCUUUUAGUCAAGGAAGUUUUAAAUGAAUAAGGAUUUCGAUUGAUUAAGUUCUUGAAAUUUGGGUUACGGUAAGCUUCAGUGGACAACUCAGAAGUCACAGGUGAAAAUAUAAAGCAACUGUAUUGUACAGUAGCUUGCAUAUUCUUUGAAGAUGGGGCCAGCAUUCAAUGAUGAUGUUGUCUAUCUGCUGUUUGUCAAAGCUGAAAUGCAGCUUUAACUUGCCUCUUCAAACGGGAAUGGUUGGUUUCAAAAAUUGUGAUUUUUGAAUGUGAAAUUAAUGAUUUCUGCUUUCUUCUGUUGCCUUCAUUGUUCAGAAAGUACCACCACCAUUCUUAAACAGCCAGAAAAAUGACAUAGAAAAAAACAGUCUGAGUCAAAAGUUUCAGCAGCAACUGUAAUUCCUUAGUAGUUAAUGGCUGGUUGAAAGCUAAAUUACUGUAUAGGAGCACUUAAAUCUGUAGCUGAUCUGCUCUAAUAAUAAUAAUAAUAAUAAUAAUAGCAAUAAUAAUAAUAGUGCUGCAGUUCUUCACUGGCCAGCUGGUGCUGGACUUGUUGAAGAUUGGUUUUCCCAAGAGAGCUGUCAGCAGGACUGAAACACGAGCUGCAGUGCCAAGUAUGCUUGGUGGAGUCUUGUUUGCACCAUGAUUCAAGGCUGUGACCGUCCAGUUGUGGGUGACUUGCUUUUCCAGCUAGUCAUGAACUAGUUUAAAAAAAAAAAAAAAGAUUAUGAAGGAACUAGUUUUCAUAUAUGCUCUGCAUAUGUGUGUGUAUAUAAGUACAGUUACAUAUUGUUAUGCUGACGUAGUGUUUUCACUAUGUCUGGUUCUCAUAUACUGCACAUUGUAUUCUGUAAGUACAUUUUUUUUUUAAUGAUCAUUUCAUCUUUAGGAACUAAAAGCUGCAGGCUGAAGGUUAGCAAGAAGAUGGAGAUACACAUAGGUACAAUUGUUGACUUGCCAUUCUUAUGCAUGAAAAUGGCAUAUUAUAGAAAAAGUUGGUCUUGCAGACUGAGAAAUCUACAAAACACCAUUAUUAUCCAAGAAUUGGGACUCAGAAGUAUUGAAGUUGCACUAAAAAAGAAGAAAAAAAAAGAAAAAAAAAGAGGAAAAUAAAAAUAGUCCAAUUAUUUUUGUUCAAGAUACAGCAGGUCUAUCUAAAGUGCUACAAUAUAACAUGGGUAUACAUUAAUAACUAGAAAAGUUAUCUAUCAUCCCUUGUCUUCUCACUAAUCCUUCAUGGCAUGUGAUGAUAAGCAUGACUAGAUGUAAUGAGAGCAGUCUGACUAUAAUCAGACCUUUUCAGUACAGUGAUGAUGUAUUUUAGUAUCCUACCCUUAAUUAUUUAAACCACAGUCAGUGAUAAAUUGUCAGUUUAAAAUCACUUGCUAAGUACUUUUCCUCUGUAUUGUUUAUAUAAGGGCUUUGAUUGGGCUGGACCCACUCGCUUCAUGUAUAGGAUGCUGCAAUCUGUUAAUACUUUAAUUUCUGUUUUACAUAUUAAUUGUAUCAUACCUAAUAAUAUUUUUGCCCUAAAAUGUAGUUUUUGUGUUUUAUUUAACCUACAACGAUUAAUGCUAAUAAAUGUUUUAAAUACCUUUGAUUUGGGGACGUCUGGUUUCAAUAAAGCAGAACAAAAUAG